UACGUAGGGGGCAAGCGUUAUCCGGAUUUACUGGGUGUAAAGGGAGCGCAGACGGCAGUGCAAGUCUGGAGUGAAAGCCCGGGGCCCAACCCCGGGACUGCUCUGGAAACUGUACGGCUGGAGUACUGGAGGGGCAGGCGGAAUUCCUAGUGUAGCGGUGAAAUGCGUAGAUAUUAGGAGGAACACCAGUGGCGAAGGCGGCCUGCUGGACAGUAACUGACGUUGAGGCUCGAAAGCGUGGGGAGCAAACAGG
rnacentral:rRNA from 1 species